AAUUGCUUGGCCUUUUACUGCCCUUUGGGGGACAUACUGAAAGCUGAAUUCUGAUAAUGCUAGAAUCCACUUCCCAAUCCUUCCUGUUAACAUUGGCUUUGACAACAUGUAUUUUAUCACAUCUGUCUUGGCGAUGAUGUGUACGUGACAAGGUAACAUGUAAUGCCUCAGCUUAUUGGCAGUAAAAUACAGAGCAAGCACAAUCUCUUUACCAGGGAAUACCUUGUUUCUACCUCGGUCAGAAUUCUACUGAGGUAGUACACUGCCUGCUCUUUUCCUCCUUCAUUAUUCUGAGCUAGCAAACUCCCAAUUGAUUUAUCUGAAGCGGAGAUAUAUAGCUUUAAGGGGU
rnacentral:lncRNA from 1 species